rnacentral:snRNA from 1 species
AGCUCCAAGUGGGCCAUUU